rnacentral:rRNA from 1 species
CGUGAGCAACCUGCCUCGAAGACUGGGAUAACAGCGGGAAACCGCUGCUAAUACCGGAUACCCCCAUUGAGUCGCAUGGCUCGAUGAGGAAAUGAAUUUCGCUUCGAGAGGGGCUCGCGGGCUAUCAGCUUGUUGGUGGGGUAACGGCCCACCAAGGCGACGACGGCUAGCUGGUCUGAGAGGACGACCAGCCACACUGGGACUGAGACACGGCCCAG